UAUUCUACCCAUGCGGGAAGGACGAGAAUCUUCGACUAAGGUUCGAUUCGAGCGCAGCGAGAAAGCGUUGCCGCAGGCAACGACCCGAAGGGCGAGGCGCAACGCGCCGAGUCAUCCUUCCCCC
rnacentral:sRNA from 1 species